GCGUCGCGCGUCGUCGACCUGGCCAGUUUUGCGACAGAACGAGGUGCGUACACACGCACGCACGCACGCACGCUGUUGUGUCAUCAACGCAGACACACACACACACGUACGCACAGAAAAUAACAAACGUCCGUCGCGAGCACGUUUCCUUCUGCGAGAAGAAACCGCGUUGGAUUUCGCAUCGCGAUGGCGGAUUUCGACGCGAUCUACGAGGAAGAGGAGGAGAACGAGCAGAAUCUGGAAGAGCAUUACGUCGCGAUGGUGCCGGACCCGAUCGUCAUCCGCGGAGCUGGCAAUAUGACAGUGUUUGGUCUCAGUAAUCGCUUCGAAUCGGAGUUUCCUAAUGGCCUCAUGUCUCGUGUGGCUCCAGAAGAGUUUAAGGCAACUGUUAUGAGAAUAAACAGUGUGUUAAAAAAAACUUUACCUGUUAAUGUUAAGUGGUUAUUUUGCGGUUGUGUAUGUUGCUGCUGUACUCUAGGAUGUUCAUUGUGGCCUGUCAUUUGUUUGAGCAAAAGGACUCAGCACUCGUUAAACAAACUGUUGGAAUGGGAAAACAGUAGGCUCUACCAUAAACUGGGAUUGCAUUGGAGAUUGGCAAAACAAAGAUGCGAUAGCUCAUCUAUGAUGGAAUAUGUUCUUUUAAUAGAAUUUAUUCCAAAAAUUCCAAUCUACAAACCCGAUUAAGUAAUCGGGUGUUGGACGUAAAGCAGUGCAAUUAAUAAAAUUCAUCAAAUUAAAUCUCUAAUAGUCAAGUGUGCAAUCGACACGUAAAGAAGUACAGAGAAGCUAAAGUGCCGCUAGGAGAUGAUAUAGUGGCUGUGAUCGAGAACAAAAGACUAGUUUCCAAUUCGAAUGUGCAUCGCAAUCAACUACUACACUAUAACGCUCUCGUGCUUUAUCUCAUGAGGUUCUACAUCAAAGCCUUAUAUAGAAGAUGUCGGAUUUUUACACUCUGAGUGUUUCUUUAAUAUUUGUACUUAUUCCGUAAAGUAACUAAGUCAAAGUCAACAAAACCGUUUAAUUAGAUACAUCUGUGUCACGUAGAUUUAAUAAGAAUGACGUAUUGCCAUAUUUCUUCUUGAUUUCAAUUAUAUGUAUGAGAAUCGUGUGCAUAAUCAUACAUUUGUCAUGUAAUGUGUUCUGUGAAAUGUUACAAAGAACAGAAUUAUCAAUUUUGCUGAAGAGGAAAACAGUUUUGUAAAAACGAUUAUACUCUCUCGAUGAUCUGUUAAAUAGUGAAUAAUUUGUUGUUGAAUGAUAAAAAAACGUUUUAUAUAUGAGCUAGAUUGUGAAAAUUUAUAUUAUUCGAACAAAUCAUUAUCUCAUUAUUGUGUUUUUUUUUUAGAUAUUGCUAAUGUUCUCUUAAUAGAUUUGUUGAACAAAUCUAUGUAUAGGAAACGGAAAUGUACUGUGUAAUGGAACCAUGCGUAGAAAUGCUUUUUUCAAUCUGGUUAUCUGGUUCUCUUGAUAGCGCGUAAUAAAAAUAAGGCUGUGUCAAAUUUGACAAAGUGAGGAAUAGUUUUUUUUUCUUUUUUUUUUAAUGAGGGAUUUUUCUAAAUCCUAUUUACAAAAAAAAACUAAUUCCUCGCUUCACAAGAUCACACACUUAAUCUUGCUGACGAUUAAAAACCAAUACGUAUCCUAUUCGCGUUUUUAAUCAACACACGGUCUAAUUAUUCUUUUUCAUCAAACACUUUCUCCAAGUAACGCAGAAAAAUACAAGUAAUGUCACUACAUUUAGUUUGCAACUAAUUCAAUUAGUUCGUAAUUUAUUUUUUAGAGUACGUGUAAGCAUCGACUAAGAAUUUAAUUAAGUCUACAUAUAUAGCUUUGUAUACAUAGUAUACAAAGUCAUUAUAGUCACAUGAUUUCCCCCCUCCCCCCAUGUAGAAAUUUUAAACUAUGUAAACUCUGUAAGAAAAAUGAAAUUGCUUUGCUGGUCAGUAUCUCACACACACAUAGAUUUUAAAUCUACAAGCAACAUAGCAAUUAAUCGGUGUUAAUUGUAAAAAAAAACAAUUCUGUUAGAAUAAUUGUAACAACGUUACGAUUAUUCAUUAACGUUUUUUUUUAUGUCAAUGGCGUAAUUACAAAGUUUGAAAAUACGAUCUUCUUUAUUUUGAAGAAAAUCAGAAAAAUUGCGAACAUUCUGCUUGGUGGCACACAGUUUACAUAAUUUACGUAGACUUAAUUAGUAGAUAUUCAUGCGUAAUUUAACGCAUAGUUUUGAAGGAUUGAACGACAUUCAUUUUUCAGAAACUGUGCAUUUUGCGAGCAAGUACACCUCUAUGUAAUUCAAAACUAUUUUUCAAUCUCACGUUGUUUUAUAUGAAGAAAAAUUCAGCUAAUACGUUAUACUACAUGUGUAAAUGAAAAGAAAUAUCAAAGCAUUACAAAGCAACACAACAAAGAUCUUUCUAUUUGCUCAUAUCGUUCAGUGCAUCGCACAUUUUCAUGAGUGUCUAUGUGUAUGGAGAUUAAACAAGAUGUAUUUAUACUAAAUUAUAAAACCGAACAGAUGUGUGUAUACAUAUACAUAUGUAUAUAUACAUAUAUAUAUAUAUAUAUAUGUAUGUACAUGUAUACAUGUACAUUAUCGCAUGGAAACCAAUAUUAUCGAACAUUGGUUUGCAUCUUCAAAUCUGUUUUUUUUUGUUGUUAAUUGAAAAAGGAUUGAAUGUACAUAAUAUAUAGUAUAUUCUCAAGGAACGGAGAUAUUUUUUCAGUAGGGAAACGACAAGUUGAAUUUAUAUAAAAUAUCGAUGUUAUAUAUUGCGCCGCAGUACAUAGAAAUGUAAUAAUUUAUAUUAUAUAUAUAUAUAUUGACGAAGGUUGUAGACAUGACAAGUAUGCGAAGUAGGGCUUCCAAGAUUCGGGUGUCCAAGAUCGGUUUUGAGAAAAAAAAACUCAACUUUUCACAUACUAUUUCGAACAUUUGAGUGAUCUCACUCAAUUUGAGACGUCACAAUUUUACUCGCUCGUCCGAAUACUCGGAUAGCGUUUUCUAACAAAUCUUGGAGCCCUUUUGCGAACCAUCGGAAGAAGAGAGAAAAAUAAUUUAUAUAUUUUUGCUAGAUAGAAAAAAAAAAAACUAUGUACGAGAAGAGAAUAUUAUGAAUAAUGAUUAUAUCGACAAUUAAAAAAGAGAAUUCACGCGACUUGAUGCCGGACAUGUUAAACAAAUUCUAUAAAUUUAUGUAUGUUACAAAAAUUGAAUAUUUUUUUCUGGUGUAAAUAUACAUCGCACGCAAAA